UUCCCCAUCUAUCCUCUGGAAGCAAGCUUCUGUCGACACCGUGGGAGCGGGUUAGAGUGCGGUGCGGGGGAGAGAGGCCCGCCGCAUCCUGGGCUCGUCGGUGCUGCCCUUCUACACCAGUGGGGUGGUUCUGGGGCUUCGCAAGCACGCGGGGAAGCUUUGCCUGGUUCGUGCGCAUCGGGGUUGUGGCCGGAGCCUGGGUAAUUUCUCGACGGAAUUUCGGCCUCCGUGGUGUUGCCACCGAGCACCGCAGCUUGGACACGUGAUCGCAUAACAGAAGGUAAAUAACCAAUUGAAUCACUUCCCCAUGUCCUUUCAAUCGUAUUUACGCAAAUUGGUGCGGAAACCAGGCAACGGGGGCACCGGUGCGUCGUGCUCCGGCGGGAUUCCGCCGUGCAAACUGGGCGGCGCCGCCGCGCUCUGGCGUCGGGCGGGGAAGACGCCUCGUCACCGUCAGAUCACUUGUGGGCGGUUGAGAUUAGAUCGACCCAUACCCCUUCACUCGAUUAAAUCUGUGCCGUCGGUUGCAGGCUUUGCGGUCGAGAUUGGGUUACGGCGUGGAUGCCUCACGACCAUCAGAUCUUAAUCUAGCGGCUGUCGUUGGAUACUGAGUUAGGUUUUAUAAAAAAAUCUAAUCGCAACCGUCAGAUAGAGAUCCAACGGCCCAAAUAGCCCGAUACCCCUUCGCCCUGGCCUAUUUGCUAAAGAGACCCCGUAAUCUUUACAAAUUAACCCGCCGUCUGUGGGCGAUGAUCAUUGAGUCUAGGGAAUUGUUACAGAUUGGACCCUGAGUUUUGUAUUAUUUGGUGCCCAGUCCAGAACACUUAGGAUAUUCAGGAAUUAAUAAAGAAAUAGGUUUUUAGUAUGAAAAUAAUUCCAUAAACUUGCAUAAUUCAUAGUUAAUUCAUUUUAACUCCAAAUUGAGUCAUUUCAGUUGCAAUAAUUUUGUAUUAAUGUUGUUUACCACCUCGUACCUUUGUUUAACCAUGAAACUUGAAUUAAAACUUGCGCAAUUGAAUUAAUCUAUUCUAGGUGCUAAGUAAUUUCGAAAAUUCAUAACUUAAUAACCGUAGCUCCGAAUUUAGUGGUUCUUGUUUCUACGAUCUCGUUAUGGCGCGUAGAUUAUUAUCACAUAGUUUAUUCUUAUGUUUGGUGUAAUGUUAAUUUUUGCCUAUACCAUGUUUGUCUGUAUUGAUACGUUUAGCAGUGAGGACACGCGUC
rnacentral:lncRNA from 1 species